UAGCUUCAACGGCCGCGGUAUCCUAACCGUGCAAAGGUAGCAUAAUCACUUGCCUAUUAAUUGUAGGCUAGAAUGAACGGGUAAACGAAAUAAAAACUGUCUCUAUCAAUAAUCUAAAAAUUAAUUUCUACAUGAAGAAGUGUAGAUAUUAUCGAAGGACAAGAAGACCCUAUAGAGCUUUAUUAUAAGGCAAAUGUAUAUUGUCCUAAAAUUCGGUUGGGGCGACCUAGGGAAAUUUAAUAUCACCCUAAUAAAUAAAGAUAAAUAUAUCUAAUAACUGACCCUUAUAAGAUCAUGAAAUCAAGUUACCUUAGGGAUAACAGGCUAAUCCUAUUAAAGAGUUCAUAUCGACAAUAGGGUUU
rnacentral:rRNA from 1 species